rnacentral:rRNA from 1 species
AAGAGAACUUACCUACUCUUGACAUCCAGAGAAUUUAGCAGAGAUGCUUUGGUGCCUUCGGGAACUGUGAGACAGGUGCUGCAUGGCUGUCGUCAGCUCGUGUUGUGAAAUGUUGGGUUAAGUCCCGCAACGAGCGCAACCCUUAUCCUUUGUUGCCAGCGAUUCGGUCGGGAACUCAAAGGAGACUGCCAGUGAUAAACUGGAGGAAGGUGGGGAUGACGUCAAGUCAUCAUGGCCCUUACGAGUAGGGCUACACACGUGCUACAAUGGCAUAUACAAAGAGAAGCGACCUCGCGAGAGCAAGCGGACCUCAUAAAGUAUGUCGUAGUCCGGAUUGGAGUCUGCAACUCGACUCCAUGAAGUCGGAAUCGCUAGUAAUCGGGAUCAG